rnacentral:tRNA from 1 species
GCCUGGGUGGCUCAGUCGGUUAAGCGGCCGACUUCGGCUCAGGUCAUGAUCUCGUGGUCCGUGGGUUCAAGCCCCACGUCGGGCU